AACAGGCUUCUCAAAAGCAGCAGUGCAGAGUGAAGAAGUGUGCAGAGGCCCCUGUUUUAUGGUAAAAAGUCCAUUUUAACAUCACUAAAGGUUUUAUUUGUUCAUCAUGUCACAGUUUUUUCUCCAGUCAGAGUGAAACUUGAAGCUUCAUUGAGGUCCAAGUUUAUCUUUGUGAUUCAUCCUCAGCCUGUGAUGUGUGUUUGUUUGCCCUGCGCUGCGACUUCCAGACGACUUCAGGCACGCUUCCGCUUCAGAUUUGCAGCUUUAUGGAAACGUACUGGUAUAACUAAAGCUUACGCAAAAUGUUCUGUCUUUAUUUUUAACACCUAUGGUUACUAGUUAUGGCUUUAUAAUGCUUCCGAAUCAGAGCAGAGGCACUGACUGCCUGCAAGGAAAAAGCCCAGGGAGCGUUACGUUUAUUCUACCUUUGUCACACGCCCUGGUGUGACUCACGCCUGGGCGUGAUAGUGGGAUUUGUGCACUUCUUUCAAUGGUGGAUUUUCUCAAUGAGCUUGGAGCGUUACUCUCACCAUGAAAAGGUACUGUAAAAUCUUAUUUUCUCUCUUUAAAAUGCAUUUAGGUCAGAACAAGUGAAGUGCAGCAUCUCCUGACCCUGUUGGAGACAGUACAGCCAAAAAACUCGACACAAAUUCUUUGCUUCGAUGCUUUGUUUAACACACGGCUCUGUAGCGCGCCGUUGCCUACAUUUGCGACUAAAAACACUCUGGAGCCAGAGUCUUCAUCCACUUCCGCUUGUUUUACACAAAUCUGCAGUAAGCCUCCAGAAGUUCUACUAAAAUAUGUAGAAAAAGAACUGGAAAGAACUACAAAAAAUAGAUUUCAAAAGACAUGUGCAUAAAAUUAAAGGGUUUAGUUGUUAUUGUUGUUGUUAGAGAUUUUAAAUAUUGCAAUUUUAUAAUGGAAAUGAGCAGUUGAUAUUGAAAGACCUGUGUUUUUUCCCCUUUUGUUUAUUUAAUAUUGCUCAUUAAUAAGACAAAACUCAUUCUUAUCUGAUUACUCAAUUAAUCGAUGGAAUAAUCGAUAGCUGCAGCCCUCGACAUUAGUACAAGAAUUAUAAGUAAAAAGCAUUUAAAAACAUCACAUGUAUAAGCAGCCUGUCACAAACGUUAAUCCAAAUUACUUUUUACAGCAUAAACAGUUUGUAACACAAACUUUCGAUUUGUAUAAAUCGUACAUAUCAUAAAUGCGACAAUACUAAGGUAAUUGUUAAUGAGCUUGUGUUCACUUUGAUGUACCUCAGUCAAGACAAGGUGCCCCACAAGACAAAGUAUCCUUAAUACAAACUCUUCAGGCUUAAUUUCACAUUUAGUUGUAAUUAGUUUUGGGGAGUAAUAAUAAAGUAAAACACAUUUUUUCUACUCAGUAUUUCUAAUAUAGAUACACUUUGGUGUAGUAUAAAUAGUCAUGAGGAAGUAGUAAGUAUUGUAAAACUUAUGGACACUUUGAGUGGCCAGUAGCACUAUAUAAGUGUGAAUAUAUUAAGAGCUUAACACCGAGCAAGAAAAUAAUCUAACAAUAAAUUAGAAUCCAUUUAUUGUGAGCUAACUAAGAUUAAACUAACUAAAAUUAAAAUAGAGAUCAGAAGAGGGGGUGGGGGUCAUCAUUCAUAAAAAGUAAUCUGUGCUGCCAUUUCAGUGAGUGUGGAAAACAUAUGUGCAAGUCCAAUAUAUGCAGGGUCUUAAUAAUAAAAUAAUAAUAAACAACAAACUCCAUGUUCUGUUUCUCCUUUACAGACAUUACAGAAAAUACUGAUGAUUUGAUGGAUAAGAAUUUAAAAGAUAUGAGCUCCACCGUGGAUCUUGUAGAAGGGAAAAAUGAUGGGAUCCUUCCCUCUAAAAACACUACACCAGGGGAACUUUGUGGGCCCACUGAAGCUCAGAGCCAGGAGCAGCAGCAGACUAGAUCAACUGCAUCAAGCUCUGUUUCGAUCAAGACCAAUCAUUCAAAGGAGUCACCUCUUGCUUUUAAUAGACAACAAUCUUCUGGAAAAGAGACUGGGGAGGUGAGGCCUGGUUGUCCUGUAUCCAGCUGUGAUUCGGUCAUGAGUGACCACUCCAAGGAGCCACCUCUUGCUUUUAACAGAAAGCAGACUUCUGGCACAGAACUGUAUCAGGACAUCUCAGAGGUUCAUAGUGCUUCAUGUGUGGAGGACCAUCAAACAGACAUAGACUCAAUAUUUAAGUUGCUUGAGGAGAGUAUUUUCACUUUUGUGAAAGACGAGUUGAAGCGAAUGCAAAGGCUUUUAAAAUCAAAGUGUUCAGAUGGAGAAAUGGACACCGAUAUGAAUGAGGGCAUGAGGAGCAGCAGAGAGGCAUUUCAAAACAUCGCACUGCACUUCCUGAGAAGAAUAAACCACGAGAACCUGGCUGAUUCUCUGCAGAGCAAAUCCCCUGCAGUAUGUGAGCGUAAACUUAAAUUUAGUUUAAAAAGGAAAUUCCAGUGCUUGUUUGAGGGGACAGCUAAAACGCGAAACCCAACUUUUUUGAAUGACAUCUACACAGAGCUCUACAUAACAGAAGAAGGGACUGGAGAGGUCAGCAAUGAACACGAGGUCAGACAGAUUGAAACCGCUGUGAGGAAACCGGCCAGACCAGAAAGAACGAUCACAUGUGAGGACAUCUUUAAAACCUCAUCAGGUAAAGAUCAAGCAUGUAGAACAGUGCUGACAAAGGGAGUGGCUGGCAUUGGGAAAACAGUCUUGACACAGAAGUUCACUCUGGACUGGGCUGAGGACAAAGCUAACCAGGACAUCCAGUUCACAUUUCCAUUCACCUUCAGAGAGCUGAACCUGCUGAAGGGUACAAAUUUCAGUUUGGUGAAACUUUUUCAUCAUUUCUUUACUGAAGCCAAAGAAGCAGGAAUCUGCAGCUUUGAGGAAUUACAGGUUGUGUUGAUCUUUGAUGGCCUGGAUGAGUGUCGACUUCCUCUGGACUUCCAAAACAAUAAGAUCCUGACUGAUGCUCGACAGCCCACUUCAGUGGAUGUUCUGCUGACAAACCUCAUCUGUGGGAACCUGCUUCCUUCUGCUCGGCUAUGGAUAACCACACGACCUGCAGCAGCCAAUCAGAUUCCACCUGGAUAUGUUGACAUGGUGACAGAGGUCAGAGGGUUCACUGACCUACAGAAGGAGGAGUACUUCAGAAAGAGAUUUGGAGAAGAGGAGCAAGCCAGCAGGAUCAUCUCUCACAUAAAGACUUCGCGAAGCCUGUACAUCAUGUGCCACAUCCCUGUAUUCUGCUGGAUCACUGCUACUGUUUUGGAGGAUGUGCUGAAAACCAGAGCAGGAGGAGAGCUGCCUAAGACCUUGACUGAGAUGUACAUCUACUUCCUGGUGGUUCAAGCAAAACUGUGGAGCAUCAAGUAUUGCAUUGGAGCUGAGGUGGAUCCACACUGGAAUCCAGGGAGCAGGGAAAUGGUUUUGUCAUUGGGAAAACUAGCAUAUGAGCAGCUGCAGAAAGGUCACCUGAUCUUCUAUGAAUCAGACCUGACAGAAUCUGGCAUUGAUCUCAGAGUGGCCUCGGUGUACUCAGGAUUGUUCACACAGAUCUUUAAAGAGGAGAGGGGGCUGCACCAGGAGAAAGUGUUUUGCUUUGUCCAUCUGAGCGUUCAGGAGUUUCUAGCUGCUCUUUAUGUCUUUCUGACUUUGACAAACUUUGGCGUGAAUCUGUUUCAGUCUGAAACUUGGUGGUCAAAUUUAUUCAGGGUCAAAUCUAAGCUAUCAUACCUUUUCCAAAGUGCUGUGGACAUGGCUGUACAGAGUCCCAAUGGACACCUGGACUUGUUUCUCCGCUUCCUUCUGGGUCUUUCCCUGCCAACAAAUCUCACACUUCUUGGUGGGUUGGUGACACAGAAAGGAAAUAUCUCUCUUGCGAAGCAGGAAACAAUUGAGUAUAUAAAGAGUGUUAUCAGGAGGAGUUUGUCACCAGAGAGAAGCAUUAACCUGUUCCACUGUCUGAAUGAGCUGAAUGACCAUUCUCUGGUUGAGGAGAUCCAACAGUAUCUGAAUUCAGGAACCCUUUCCCCAGAUGAACUGUCUCCUGCUCAGUGGUCAGCUCUGGUCUUCAUCUUACUGUCAUCAGAAGAAGACCUGGACAUGUUCGACCUGAAGAAAUACUCUGCUUCUGAUGAAGGUCUUCUGAGGCUGCUGCCUGUGGUCAAAGCCUCCAACAAAUCUCUGUUGAGUGGCUGUAAUCUGACAGAGAGAUGCUGUGAAGGUUUGGCCUCAGUUUUUAGCGCUCAGUCUUCUACUCUAAGAGAUGUUGAUUUGACAAACAACAACCUGCAGGACUCAGGACUGAAGUUGGUGUCUUCUGGACUGAAAAAUCCACAGUGUAGCCUAGAAAAGCUAAGGUUGAACCAAAACAAUCUCACGGAGAAAUGCUGUCAAGAGCUGUCAUUAGUUCUAGAGACCUCUCAUUUGAGAGAAUUGGACUUGAGUUACAACAAUCUGCAGGACUCUGGACUGAAACAGCUCUCUGCUGGGCUAAAAGGUCCAAACUGUAGACUGGAAACACUCAGGCUGAUUGGUUGUAAUCUGUCAGAGAAAAGUCAUGAUACGCUGUUUUUCAUUCUCACCUCCUCUAAUCUGAGAGAGCUGGACCUGAGCAACAACAGCCUGAAGGAUUCAGGAGUGAUGCUCUUCUCUGAACAGGGAAAUCAGCACUGCAGACUGGAAACUCUCCGAUUGAGUCGAACUGGUCUCACAGAGCAAUGCUGUCAAGGGUUAUCAUCAGCUUUAUGCACAAAGAUGUCUAGUCUGAGAGUGCUGGACUUGAGUGACAAUGACCUGCAGAGCUCAGGAGUAAAACUGCUCUGUGAGGGACUUGGAAGUCCACACUGUCAACUCCAAACUCUAAGGUUAACUCAAACCAACCUCACAGAGAAAUGCUGCAAUGACAUCUCAACAAUUCUUAGCUCCCGGUCUUCAAGUCUGAGAGAUCUGGACCUCAGUAACAAUGAUCUGCAGGAUUCCGGAGUGACACUUUUGUCUGCAGGACUGCAUAGUCCGUACUGCAUCCUGAAAACUCUCAGCCUGAGUGGCUGCAGGUUAUCAGAAAGAACUUGUGACGUUCUGAUGUCAAAGUCUACCAGUCUAAGAGAGCUGGACUUAAGUAAGAACCACCUGUGGGAUUCAGGCAUCAAGCUUUUGUCUACUGGGCUGACAAGUCCACACUGUAGACUGGAAACUCUGAGGUUGAAAAACACAAAUCUCACAGAGAAAUGUGGUCAAUAUAUCUCACUGGUCCUCAGCUCUGACUCUUGCAGUCUGAGACACCUGGAUUUGAGUAACAAUGACCUACGAGAUUCAGGAGUAAAACUGCUUUCUACUGGACUGAGGAGCCCACACUGUAGACUACAAACGUUUGGGUAUGCAUCUGAGGAAUAUGUGUUGCACCGUAAGGGUCAUUGUGAAAAGACUGGACAGGCAGUCAACUGUGACAAGGGGACCCAUUUUUUUCCUAGUAGACGAUUUGCUGUCAGGAUGGUUGCCCCUUCCUAAACCCUGGCUAGCAGUUUCUUCAAGUUAAAAGUUUUUUUUUCUUUCCCACUGUUGCCAAGUGCUUGUUCAUAGGGGAUCAACUGGUGGCUGGGGCUUCAUCCUAAUAUUGUAAGGUCUUUACCUUGCAAUAUAAAAAAAACAACUUGUGGUGACUGUUAUUGUGAAUUGGCAUAAUGUAAAUAAAACUGAACUAAUGUUGUGUUUGCACACACACUCCAUCUCCAUAAGACAAAGGUUAUAAACUACAAUGAAAAUAACCCUUAAGAGCUACAUUUAAAACUGCUGCAGAGUCAAUAAAACUAAAUAAUUAAUAAAAACCUAAACCUACACAACAGGAAAAAAAAAGCAAAAAAUAAAUAAAUAAAUAAAACAUCUUCACUAAACAGUAUGCACAAACAGCCACAGUUAUGAAAGUGCAAACAUUUUCAUUUAACUUCUCAGAUAGCAUAGUGUACAAAGCAAGAGAGGGCUUUUUUUUGUCUGAAGUCGGACUAAUGAAUUCAUAGUUGUGGUGGACAGACUGAGUGCAGAUUCUUAUGAGCACAUUUCUGUUGCUUUUGCAAAUCUUGAACAAGACCAUUUUUAAAACUAGCUGCUGUACCUGAGGAAUUACUUCUUUGCUUUGAAAGACACUUGAGAGAUUGUCAGGCUGUUU